AUUGAACGCUGGCGGCGUGCUUAACACAUGCAAGUCGAACGAAGUGGCGAACGGGUGAGUAACGCGUAAUCAACCUGCCCUUCAGCGGGGGACAACAGUUGGAAACGACUGCUAAUACCGCAUACUGAAGGAGGGGAUUGCGUCUGAUUAGCUAGUUGGCGGGGUAACGGCCCACCAAGGCGAUGAUCAGUAGCCGGUCUGAGAGGAUGAACGGCCACAUUGGGACUGAGACACGGCCCAGAAUCCUACGGGAGGCAGCAGUGGGGAAUCUUCCGCAAUGGACGAAAGGCUGACGGAGCAACGCCGCGUGAGUGAUAACGGCCUUCGGGUUGUAAAGCUCUGUUAAUCGGGACGCGGUACCGGAAUAGAAAGUCACGGCUAACUACGUGCCAGCAGCCGCGGUAAUUC
rnacentral:rRNA from 1 species